rnacentral:ncRNA from 1 species
ACGAGGAAGGGCAUAGUAAUCAACGAAAUACUUCGGGGAGUUGAAAAUGAGCAUAGAUGCAGAGAUUCCCAAAUAGGGCAACCUUUCAAACUGCUGCUAAAUUCAUGGACAGGCAAGAGACAACCUGGCGAAUGAAAACAUCUUAAUAGCCAGAGAAAAAAAAAGUAAAAGCGAUUCAUGUAGUAGCGGCGAGCGAAAUGGAAGCAGCCUAAACCGUGAAAAUGGGGUUGUAGGAGAGCAAUACAAGCACCAUUCUGUUAGGCGAAGCAACCUGAAUGCUGCACCCUAGAUGGCCAAAUUCCAGUAGCCGAAAGCAUCACUAGCGUACGCUUUGACCCAAAUAGAAAUUAAAUUUUCUCUAAGAGAUAGUACAAUAAAUGUUUCCUCUAAGUCCAAAUA